AUUGAACGCUGGCGGCAGGCCUAACACAUGCAAGUCGAACGGUAACAGGAAGCAGCUUGCUGCUUCGCUGACGAGUGGCGGACGGGUGAGUAAUGUCUGGGAAGCUGCCUGAUGGAGGGGGAUAACUACUGGAAACGGUAGCUAAUACCGCAUAAUGUCGCAAGACCAAAGAGGGGGACCUUCGGGCCUCUUGCCAUCGUAUGUGCCCGGAUGGGAUUCGCUUGUUGGUGGGGUAACGGCUCACCAAGGCUACGAUCCCUAGCUCGUGUGAGAGGAUGACCAGCCACAGUGGAACUGAGACGCGGUCCAGACUCCUGAGGGAGGCAGCAGUGGGGAAUAUUGCACAAUGGGCGCAAGCCUGAUGCAGCCGUGCCGCGUGUAUGAAGAAGGCCUUCGGGUUGUAAAGUACUUUCAGCGGGGAGGAAGGGAGUAAAGUUAAUACCUUUGCUCAUUGACGUUACCCGCAGAAGAAGCACCGGCUAACUCCGUG
rnacentral:rRNA from 1 species